UACGUAGGCAGCGAGCGUUGUUCGGAAUUACUGGGCGUAAAGAGUGUGUAGGCGGUGCUCUAAGUUCGGUGUGAAAUCUCCUGCUUAACUGGGAGGGUGCGCCGGAAACUGGGGUGCUCGAGCGUGGGAGAGGAAAGCGGAAUUCCUGGUGUAGAGGUGAAAUUCGUAGAUAUCAGGAGGAACACCAGUGGCGAAGGCGGCUUUCUGGACGAGUAACUGACGCUGAGACGCGAAAGC
rnacentral:rRNA from 1 species